AAUUUAGCCCUGCCACUGGCUUAUGUCAUGGCGUUGGGCUAGUUACUCAGGUUCUCUGCAAAAUGGGCUGGUUGGACAGGAGCGGUGCCACUCACCUC
rnacentral:pre_miRNA from 1 species